rnacentral:rRNA from 1 species
GACGAACGCUGGCGGCGUGCCUAACACAUGCAAGUCGAGCGGAAGGACCCGACGCUUGUUGCUUGCUCGUUAGCCGCAGGGGUGUGUGACACGCGAGUAACCUGCCCUUGUCUUUCGGGGAACUUCAGGGGACUCCGGCUCCUACACCGGAGGAGCUUUUGCUCCACAUGGUGCAUUGGAAAGUUUCGGCGGUUGUGGAUGGACUCGCGGCUUCUCAGCUUGUUGGUGGGGUAGUGACUUACCAAGGUUUUGACGGGUAGCCGGCCUGAGAGGGUGACCGGCCACCAUGGGACUGAGAUAGGCACCAGACUCCGAAGGGAGGCAGCAGUCGGGAAUAUGGCACAAUGGGCGCAAGCCUGAUGCAGCAACGCCGCGUGCGGGAUGCCGGCCUUCGGGUUGAGAACCGCUUUCGCCGGUGAUGAAGAGUGAGUGACGGUAAUGGGUAAAGAAGCAACGGCUAACUACGUG